rnacentral:rRNA from 1 species
AUGAGUGGCGAACGGGUGAGUAACACGUGAGUACCUGCCUCUUCUUUGGAUAACGCCCGGAAACGGGUGCUAAUACUGGAUAUUCACUGAUCUUCGCAUGGGGGUUGGUGGAAAGGUUUUUUCUUGGUGGGGGAUGGGCUCGCGGCCUAUCAGCUUGUUGGUGGGGUGAUGGCCUACCAAGGCUUUGACGGGUAGCCGGCCUGAGAGGGUGACCGGUCACAUUGGGACUGAGAUACGGCCCAG